AUUGAACGCUGGCGGCAGGCCUAACACAUGCAAGUCGAACGAGUGGCGGACGGGUGAGUAAUGUCUGGGAAACUGCCUGAUGGCGGGGGAUAACUACUGGAAACGGUAGCUAAUACCGCAUACCAUCGGAUGUGCCCAGAUGGGAGUAGCUAGUAGGUGGGGUAAUGGCUCAGCUAGGCGACGAUCUCUAGCUGGUCUGAGAGGAUGACCAGCCACACUGAAACUGAGACACGGUCCAGACUCCUACGGGGGGCAGCAGUGGGGAAUAUUGCACAGUGGGCGCAAGCCUGAUGCAGCCAUGCCGCAUGUAUGAAGAAGGCCUUCGGGUUGUAAAGUACUUUCAGCGAGGGGGCGUUACUCGCAGAAGAAGCACCGGCUAACUCCGUGCCAGCGGCCGCGGUAAUAC
rnacentral:rRNA from 1 species